rnacentral:rRNA from 1 species
GAUGAACGCUAGCGGCAGGCCUAAUACAUGCAAGUCGAACGAGACCUUCGGGUCUAGUGGCGCACGGGUGCGUAACGCGUGGGAAUCUGCCCUUUGCUUCGGAAUAACAGUGAGAAAUUACUGCUAAUACCGGAUGAUGUCUUCGGACCAAAGAUUUAUCGGCAAAGGAUGAGCCCGCGUAGGAUUAGGUAGUUGGUGGGGUAAUGGCCUACCAAGCCGACGAUCCUUAGCAGGUCUGAGAGGAUGAUCAGCCACACUGGGACUGAGACACGGCCCAGACUCCUACGGGAGGCAGCAGUGGGGAAUAUUGGACAAUGGGCGAAAGCCUGAUCCAGCAAUGCCGCGUGAGUGAUGAAGGCCUUAGGGUUGUAAAGCUCUUUUACCAGGGAUGAUAAUGACAGUACCUGGAGAAUAAGCUCCGGCUAACUCCGUGCCAGCCGCCGCCGUAAUAC